AAACCAACAGGGAUAGCCUUAGUAGCGGCGAGUGAAGCGGCAAAAGCUCAAAUUUGAAAUCUGGCACCUUCGGUGUCCGAGUUGUAAUUUGAAGAUUGUAACCUUGGGGUUGGCUCUUGUCUAUGUUUCUUGGAACAGGACGUCACAGAGGGUGAGAAUCCCGUGCGAUGAGAUGCCCAAUCCUAUGUAAGGUGCUUUCGAAGAGUCGAGUUGUUUGGGAAUGCAGCUCUAAGUGGGUGGUAAAUUCCAUCUAAAGCUAAAUAUUGGCGAGAGACCGAUAGCGAACAAGUACAGUGAUGGAAAGAUGAAAAGAACUUUGAAAAGAGAGUGAAAAAGUACGUGAAAUUGUUGAAAGGGAAGGGUUUGAGAUCAGACUCGAUAUUUUGUGAGCCUUGCCUUCGUGGCGGGGUGACCCGCAGCUUAUCGGGCCAGCAUCGGUUUGGGCGGUAGGAUAAUGGCGUAGGAAUGUGACUUUGCUUCGGUGAAGUGUUAUAGCCUGCGUUGAUGCUGCCUGCCUAGACCGAGGACUGCGAUUUUAUCAAGGAUGCUGGCAUAAUGAUCCCAAACCGC
rnacentral:rRNA from 1 species